rnacentral:lncRNA from 1 species
GGGUCACCAAAGGUUUCUGAGCGCCUUUAAUUAUAAAAUAAUUCGAAAAAUUAAUCAGGAAUAACCUUUAUGUUUUGAUUUAUAUAAUUGAUAUAAAUCAAAACAUCGUGUUAUUUCUGAUUAAUUUUUCGAAUUACUUUAUUAAGGUGUUGAGAACCUUUGGUGACCCCAUAGUUAAAGUGUCUUUAAAAAGUACAUAGUGAGCAGUGGUCGUUACAUACAAACGUUCACCCAAAUUGUCCCAGUCAAUGGAUGAAUUUAAUGUGUCAAUCAAUGGCCACAGCCACACUGUUUUGAAUGUCAUUCUAUGUGU